rnacentral:rRNA from 1 species
ACGGAGGAUGCAGGCGUUAUCCGGAUUUAUUAGGUUUAAAGGGUGCGUAGGCGGGCUUUUAAGUCAGUGGUGAAAACCCUCAGCUUAACUGAGGAACUGCCAUUGAUACUGAGGGUCUUGAAUGCAGUUGAGGCAGGCGGAAUGUGCAGUGUAGCGGUGAAAUGCUUAGAUAUUGCACAGAACACCGAUAGCGAAGGCAGCUUGCUAAACUGUGAUUGACGCUGAUGCACGAAAGCGUGGGGAUCAAACAG